rnacentral:rRNA from 1 species
GACGAACGCUGGCGGCGUGCCUAAUACAUGCAAGUAGAACGCAGCGGCGGACGGGUGAGUAAUGUCUGGGAAACUGCCUGAUGGAGGGGGAUAACUACUGGAAACGGUAGCUAAUACCGCAUACCAUCAGAUGUGCCCAGAUGGGAUUAGCUAGUAGGUGGGGUAACGGCUCACCUAGGCGACGAUCCCUAGCUGGUCUGAGAGGAUGACCAGCCACACUGGAACUGAGACACGGCCCAGACUCCUACGGGAGGCAGCAGUAGGGAAUCUUCGGCAAUGGACGGAAGUCUGACCGAGCAACGCCGCGUGAGUGAAGAAGGUUUUCGGAUCGUAAAGCUCUGUUGUAAGAGAAGCGGUAUCUUACCAGAAAGGGACGGCUAACUACGUGCCAGCAGCCGCGGUAAUAC